rnacentral:rRNA from 1 species
UACGUAGGGUGCAAGCGUUAAUCGGAAUUACUGGGCGUAAAGCGUGCGCAGGCGGUGAUGUAAGACAGUUGUGAAAUCCCCGGGCUCAACCUGGGAACUGCAUCUGUGACUGCAUCGCUGGAGUGCGGCAGAGGGGGGAUGGAAUUCCGCGUGUAGCAGUGAAAUGCGUAGAUAUGCGGAGGAACACCGAUGGCGAAGGCAAUCCCCCUGGGCCUGCACUGACGCUCAUGCACGAAAGCGUGGGGAGCAAACAGG